rnacentral:rRNA from 1 species
UAGGGAAUCUUCCGCAAUGGGCGAAAGCCUGACGGAGCAACGCCGCGUGAGUGAUGAAGGUCUUCGGAUCGUAAAACUCUGUUAUUAGGGAAGAACAAAUGUGUAAGUAACUAUGCACGUCUUGACGGUACCUAAUCAGAAAGCCACGGCUAACUACGUGCCAGCAGCCGCGGUAAUACGUAGGUGGCAAGCGUUAUCCGGAAUUAUUGGGCGUAAAGCGCGCGUCGGCGGUUUUUUAAGUCUGAUGUGAAAGCCCACGGCUCAACCGUGGAGGGUCAUUGGAAACUGGAAUACUUGAGUGCAGAAGAGGAAAGUGGAAUUCCAUGUGUAGCGGUGAAAUGCGAAGAUAUAUGGAGGAACACCAGUGGCGAAGGCGACUUUCUGGUCUGUAACUGACGCUGAUGUGCGAAAGCGUGGGGAUCAAACAGG